rnacentral:misc_RNA from 1 species
UCCGGUUUGGCACCGGCAGUCUUCCUAGAGUCCCCGACUUUACUCGCUGGCAACAUGGGGCAGGGGUUGCGCUCGUUGCGGGACUUAACCCAACAUCUCACGACACGAGCUGACGGCAGCCAUGCACCACCUGUGCAGGCUCCGAAGAGCACCCGCUUUCACGGGUUUCACCCUGCAUGUCAAGCCCAGGUAAGGUUCUUCGCGUCGCAUCGAAUUAAGCCGCAUGCUCCGCCGCUUGUGCGGGGCCCCGUCAAUUCCUUUGAGUUUUAGCCUCGCGGCCGUACUCCCCAGGCGGGGUGCUUAAUGCGUUAGCGACGGCACUCAGAGGGUCUCUCCCCCAAGCACCUAGUGCCCAUCGUUUACGGCGUGGACUAC